AUUUUUGGAGUAGUGUUUAGCGCGCCUGACUGUGUAACAUAAGGUCGAACAUAAGACUUUCCUCUUCCUCGUGGUUACUGGAGACAUCCAGGAGAUUGAUGCUUUGGGACUGUGUUAGAGAAUGACGAUACCAAAGAAAGACAAAGCGUCCUCCUGCAUCUCGAUUCACAGUUUCAUCCACACGGGUGUAGCCAUGGGAAAAAUACUUGUUAUCAAAUGCAAAAGAGAUGCCGAGGUUACUCUUCAGACAGUCACAGAAGAGGUGGUGGUCCCAUCCACCAAUGGGGUGUCAGAUGAGAAGGAAGUGUUGGAACACAAUGGUACAGAACGAUCCGUGAGUCCACCGGGAAGAGACAAAGGUUCUCCAGAAUUGGCUUUUUGUCAUUUGGAAGAAGAGGAGGAGGAAGAACACAUUGUUGAAGAGAAUGAAGAAGAGGAGAUAAUAGAGAAUGGAAAAGAGGUGACAGAAUUGAGGCCCACUUAUAGGUCCACUACAUCACUAGGUAAAUCUGCAACAGUAGGGGUCACCGAGAGUAGGACUACCUGCAAUGGUCUCGUUCAAACUUCCACCAGGAGGCCCCCAUUAAGAUGACACAGCCAACCCCUGAAAGGGGGUUCUGUGAUUG
ensembl:lncRNA